rnacentral:tRNA from 1 species
UAGGAAGAGCGAUUUGAAUAGUGGGUCGACCUUGGAGAAUAUCCCGCUCAAGUACACUA